UGAAGUCGAAGGUCUGCUUUGUGAUUUACUUGAUUUAGUUUUACUUGCUAACUCCUUGUUUCCGUCUGACCGACGACCAGGUUCAUGGUAGAAGGCAGGCAUGGGAGUUGCUUUGAAAUUGAGAUUUCUCCGUAGCUGUUUUAACUCUGCUUCUUUCUUUACCUGAGUUCUUGCUUGGAGCUGAUGUUUUUCUGCCUCUACUGCAUGCAUUUUCUCCUCUAACUUCAUAAGGAACUCUUUCCUUUUCUUGGCGCGCUCUUCACUUUUGAAAAGGAAACCAGAUCCAUUCUGUUUCAUGUCUGGCUUACAUGAAUUUACACUCUGCUUAUCCCUGUUUACACUUUGAUGUACUCUAUGGCUAACUUUUUCUGUACUGGAAGCACGAGAAGCGGCAGCCUUUCUUGCUUUAGGCUGCUGUUCGGUGCUUUUCUGUUGAUUAAUUACAUUGGCUUUUGAACCCGAACGAACCUCUGGUUUUGGCAUUCUUGCUGUUGAACGCAAAAGAGCACCAGGAGCGUCCAAUCUGGGCUUUUCUCCUCUUCUUGUGAAGGAAACAUCACUAUGCCUUCUAUUUGGUUUACUUGGCAUGUCUUUAUAUGCUUGUUUUGAGAUUGUCCCCUUGCCACUAGCAACACUAACUUGGGGCAACAUCCUAGCUUUUGUGUCUCUAGAUUGAGAUGCAGUCCUCACCUUUGAAGAUGAACUUCGUUGAGGUUCUGAACUAACACUACCAUCUUUCUCAGUGGUGUGAGCAUUAGAGGAUAGAUCAACGGAGUUUGAUGAAAACUCCAUACUGCUCUCUUGGCCCUCUAGUUUCCCUUUUACUUCAAUCUCAGUUUUAGGAUCAUCAUCAAAAGCUGAAUUUCCAGCAUUGAGAUGAAAAUUUGCUUCAGCUUCCAUAUGUUCAGGAACACUUUGAAGAACAUCAGAACUAUUGGUAGCAGCUAGUUCAGUCUGGGGUCCAGAAUGGAGAAUUAUACCAUCUACUCCAUCACAUUCUGUGACUUCGAUGUCUCCGUUGUGAGAUCCAUCAAAACUCUCCUCAAAGCGUGUAGAAUGACCAACCUCAUUCACUCGCUCAAAGUCACCAUCAUAACCUGUGUUCUCAGCUUGAUACUUUCCAUUCUUCAAUAAAUGUAUUGAUCUAUCAGUAGUUUCAUCAAAGCGUGCAGAAUGGUCGACUUCGUUAACAUGCUCAAAGUCCCCCGCGUAGCCUUCAUUUUCAAUGACAUCAGUUUCACUAGCUUGAUACUUUUCAUUCUCCAGUAAAUUGGCUGAUCUAUCAUGAUUUUCAACAAAGUGUGCCGAAUGGCCAAUCUCAUUAACACGCUCAAAGUCCCCCUCAUAACUUGUAUUCUCAUUGCCGUCAUUUUCACUAGCUUGAGAUUCGGUCCCAUUCUGCCACUCUGAUGAACUCUGGCGUAGAAGUGCCUUCUUUCUAAGACGUGCCUCAAAAUAUGCUUUCUUCUCAGUUACAGAACCUGGCUUGGAGUAUUUCUCAACCUCUUCAAGAUACCUGUUAUGUGUAAAAGAAGACCUCCUCUCCCAACAUAAACUUUCAUUCUCAAAUCUACCGAAUGAGAUAGAUCCCGAUUGCCACGAAUCAGCCUGAAAACUAUGACUAAAUGGUUCUUCAAUAUCACCAGCCAUUUCAAAAAAAACUGAUCCUUUUUACACAACCUCCAUACAUAUCAUCUGCAUUUCCCAAAUCUUGAAAUUAGUUUUUAAGGAGAAAAUUGACAGAAUACUGAAAAGGGGUUGAAGAUGAAGCAAAAUUGAGAUGAUUCCUUUGAGAAAAAAAGAGAAAUAAAUGUGAAAGAAAACGUGUCUGAGUACAGAAGAAUCGCUACUUUGCUUUGAAGAAGGUAGUUAAAUGGAGUGAACAUG
rnacentral:misc_RNA from 1 species